rnacentral:lncRNA from 1 species
AUGUAGAGCAGUGCUGGAAGAUAAUUCAACGAGCAGAUAUUUGAAUUAUUUAUUUAUUUAUUUUUGAUCAGAUAUUUUGGGCUCCUGGGUUAACAAGAAGGAUGUUCCAUCUGUGGGGGACUGGAAUUGGCCACCCCAAGAUAUGUCUCUCUGGCAUGAGGAUUAUUUGGGGCUGGUUACUUUUAAAAAAAACCUGCAGAUGGGAAAGAAACUCUGAAAAGUAGAAUUUACUUACCCUUUAUUAAGAGACGUUUACAUUUGUAAAGGAAAUCUCCAUCUGUAAAGGUGUCUCCCUCUCUGUACCAGGAAGAAGAGGGCAUGACCUUAGCUCUAGAAACUCUUAAUCAAUGCAGAAGGCAAGGACUUAACUCUGCAUAAUAAUUUUACUCUUGUUUGCUGUACUUGUCUGGUAACCUCCUGUAACUGACUCCCCCCACCCCCAACAUCCUCCUUUGUCUUUAGCUGAAGAUGAUAUUUAAGGUGGUGGCUUAAGCCAUUUUGGUGAGUUGCCUAGCUGGCCUGAGCCUCUCCCAUGUAUACAUGUUAUAAAGCUUUGUUUAAUUUUCUCCUGUUAUUCUGUCUCAGGUGAAUUUAAUUCGUUUUCCGGCCAGAAGGACCCAGAGCAGAUAGAGGAAAUGUCUUCCUCCCCUACACUUCCUUAUGAGGGAGAAAACAGACUUGAAUCAGAGCCAUCUCUACUACUUUUGGAAAAGGUUCUUGGAAAGUCUUGAGUUCUCAGAAGAGAUGAAAAAUGAAUUGAAUCCAAAUCUUGACUGGAAUUCAUAAAAGCACAGCUUUGUGACAUUUGUUUUCCUGCAUCAAAAAUGAAGACAUUAUCAUACUUAAAUAAUUACGGUAACCAACAAUGUGUUUUCUAUGGAUUGACCUGCAGAGGUGGCAAUUUUGUCUUCAAGAACACAGACCUUAGAGAUCUUGGGAGAAAGUGAAUUCUCACUAGAUAUUGAAAGCCUGAAUCUAGAAAACACUCAUUGUUCGGGACCCAUUCCUAUGUCUCUUACAAAGCAUUCCAUUUGGAUUAAACCGUAUGCACAGACAUUUCUUACCCUCCCUCAAAAGUCG